CCAUAAUAAAACCAUUAUUUUUAAAAAGAGUUAUUUGCGCAUAAACCACUACAAAUGAUCAGAAAUACUUGAUAUGUACUGCGUUUGGAGAAAAAAAGAAAAAACAGCUGAAGCAUAGGAACGGAGAAGCCUUUCGUGUCACUUUAUAAGGUACACAAUCUUUCUAACAAGAUUUGGUCACACGUUUAUCCAGUUGUUUAGUAUUGAGCUGCACAAGUGGAUUGUGGGUAAAAACCUACACACAUG